rnacentral:misc_RNA from 1 species
ACAGACCUCCACGCUGGUCCGCGCUGUACUCCUUCAUGACCACCCAUCUCAUUCCCUUCGUGUCUCCACACACACACACACACACACACAUGGCAGGGCGUCUGCGGUGGUGUCUUAGUCAGGCGCACGGAGUCGCUGGAAAAGAAUACGACCCGCGCGACUACACUCGCUUAUACACACCUGCGAGUAGAAGGGCACACGCACACGAACGCACGCAGGCCCAGGCAUGCGCGCGUGCCGAUGAGGACGACAAGCACCAGCGAUGCAACCUUACCAGGGUUUUAGAUAUGAUCUGUGAUGCAGCGCCUCACUGUGAGAAAGCACCCGUGGUGAAAUACAUGAACUAAACUCAGCGCUGUCAUCGCGGCAGAGGCAGUGGAAGCGGGGGUGAGAAGCACGAGUUGUGUGAUGCCUCGCGCUAACAGGCUUCGGUGUAUCUCUUUCUCUUGGCUGCCGUCUGCCACAACCGGCGGCCGUCGUUGCAGCAGGGAGAGUCACACAUACGCGCCUGCUGCUGCUGCUGCUCCCGCAUUCCCUUUGCCUCUCGGCCCUGUUGCACGCCGACGCCGCGUUGGCGGUGUCGCGCGCUUUGGGGUUUGGCGAGGUUGUCUUCUGCGCGUGGGCGUGCAUGCGCACAUGCCCGUCACAGCGGCGCUGCAUGGCCCUGUAUUGUUGGUAACGGUAGUAAUUGUGGUGCCAAGCAGUUUGGGACUGCAUACUGUACCGCGCGCCUGUAGCGUGCCCUUCUACUCUUCUCACCGUCCUUCUUUCUCUUGCUCUCCCAUGACUGGGCUGUUCAUCGAUCUGGGUGCGUGGGUGCGUGUGUGGGGCUGUGGCGAUUCUGCACUGCUGCUGCACCGCUCACCAACAACGAAUCUUUCAUCGGAUAAG